rnacentral:rRNA from 1 species
AUGCAUCGAGCUGNAAAGCUCCGGCGCUCAAGGAUGGGUCUGCGGCCUAUCAGGUAGUAGUGGGUGUAGCGUACCUACUAGCCUACGACGGGUACGGGUUGUGAGAGCAAGAGCCCGGAGAUGGAUUCUGAGACACGAAUCCAGGCCCUACGGGGUGCAGCAGGCGCGAAAACUUUACAAUGCUGGAAACAGCGAUAAGGGGACCUCGAGUGCCAGGUUACAAAUCUGGCUGUCGUGAUGCCUAAAAAGCAUUGCAUAGCAAGGGCCGGGCAAGACCGGUGCCAGCCGCCGCGGUAACACCGGCGGCUCGAGUGGUAACCGUUAUUAUUGGGUCUAAAGGGUCUGUAGCCGGCCGGAUAAGUCUCUUGGGAAAUCUGGCAGCUUAACUGUCAGGCUUUCAGGAGAUACUGUCUGGCUCGAGGCCGGGAGAGGUGAGAGGUACUUCAGGGGUAGGGGUGAAUUCUUGUAAUCCUUGAAGGACCACCAGUGGCGAAGGCGUCUCACCAGAACGGACCUGACGGCAAGGGACGAAAGCUAGGGGCACGAACCGGAUUAGAUACCCGGGUAGUCCUAGCCGUAAACGAUACUCGCUAGGUGUCGGCAACGGUGCGACCGUUGUCGGUGCCGUAGGGAAGCCGUGAAGCGAGCCACCUGGGAAGUACGGCCGCAAGGCUGAAACUUAAAGGAAUUGGCGGGGGAGCAC